CCUAUGACCUGCAGCUCUGCUUCAUAGUGUCUCUUCAGGCCCUUCAGAUAGAUGCGUAAGCUGUCAGGGUCCAGCCUGGAGUUCCUGGCUGUCUGCAGGAGCCGAGUGGCCAGGUGGUACACUGCUCUCUGCCGUUGCGUUUCCGGAUCACUGUGGUGCUUGGCCUGAGUUAGGGUUGGAGGAAGACGACAGGUUGACAGACCAUCAGGGACUACAGAGAAUAAGAUGAUGGAUAAGCUUCCACGGCUCAGCAGGAAGGUAUAGAUGACACGUUCUGUACCCGUGUCACCAGUGCGGGUGUGCUGAACCUCCAUGUGCUGGUUUUCCACAUUGGGGUACAAUGUCUCCAACUCACAUAGUUCCAGGAAGUGUGUGGCGAACAGCGUGAACGCCUGAGACCAGCAGAUAGGAGAGAGGCACUGUGCUGGUUGGCCACACCGUACCUACCCUGAGGCUAAGGAGGAAUUCGCAGACAGAGUGACAGAUGCCGACACCCUCCUCAGCACUAGUACCACGCCCAAGCUCGUCUAUGAUAAUGAGAGACCUAUCACUCACAUUAUGGAUUAAAUAUGAGACCUUGGGAGUACAAAGAAAUUAAUCAGAAUUACUUUGCGGUAUUUCAAAAAUGCAUACAAAACCACUGAGUGGCAAAUAUCUAUGAGAAAUGUACCUCCUUCAUUUCCACCAUAAAGGUUGAGGAGUUGGUCUCAAAGUCAUCAUCCACCCCGAUUCUGGUGAAAAUCUGGUCAGCAAUGCGGAAGGAGGCAUACUCAGCAGGGACAAAGGAGCCUAGAUCAGAUUCAUUAUAUAAGUAGCCUGUGAGUAAGCCUGUUGAAUGGUUACAACACUGAAAAUUAAGUUAAUUAUAUAACUACAUUCCAUUUUAAAUUAAUUUAGUAGUUUCCCACCUAUCUGAGCCAUGAUCUGGCACAGCGCCACCUGUUUGAGGUAGGUGGAUUUGCCACUCAUGUUGGGCCCAGUGAUGAUGACAAAGUUACUGCCCUCAGAGAUGUAGCUGUUGUUGGACACGGGCUGCUGGCCAACGAUGCGCUCCAGAAUGGGGUGACGACCCUGCUUGAUGGCCAGUGUGUCUGUGAACUCAGGACGCACUGCAGGCACAGAGAAGGAAAACAACAUUAGGAAGAACACAAUACAAAUUCAUAAUUACAUGGUUAGUAAAUAAAUGUUUUACUCAGUGUUGAAUUUCUGUGGAUGACAUUCAGUUGGGUUUGUUAUUUUAUCACACAUUUUAUGAGGAAAUUCAAAACACUUCUAGCAUGCAGUCGAAACAGACAUCUACAGUAGUCGUGUCAUGCAGAAAGAUUGGUCUGGUCAAAUACAGUAAUGGUUUCUUGACCAGGGUAAUCUGAGAGUGAGAUGACAGACAGAGAAGGCCGACAGUCAGCACGUGUCCCUCCAGAGAUCUUGUUUCAGACAGCUGUGGGCCAUUGGUCACCACCCACAUGGUUAUGGGAGCUGCUGCCCAGACAACUUAAGCUAGCAGGGCAACC